GGCCUCAUAUCUCAGUUGGCUAGAGCAUUGGUUGUACUAAAGCCUUCUCCAUGCUGGCGUGGGCUCGAAUCCCACCGAGGUCG
rnacentral:tRNA from 1 species